rnacentral:rRNA from 1 species
GACGAACGCUGGCGGCGUGCCUAAUACAUGCAAGUCGAGCGGAAUGAUGAAGAAGCUUGCUUCUUCUGAUUUUAGCGGCGGACGGGUGAGUAACACGUGGGCAACCUACCUUGUAGAUUGGGAUAACUCCGGGAAACCGGGGCUAAUACCGAAUAAUCCAUUUUGCUUCAUGGCGAGAUGUUGAAAGACGGUUUCGGCUGUCACUACAAGAUGGGCCCGCGGCGCAUUAGCUAGUUGGUAGGGUAAUGGCCUACCAAGGCGACGAUGCGUAGCCGACCUGAGAGGGUGAUCGGCCACACUGGGACUGAGACACGGCCCAGACUCCUACGGGAGGCAGCAGUAGGGAAUCUUCCACAAUGGACGAAAGUCUGGUGGAGCAACGCCGCGUGAGUGAAGAAGGUUUUCGGAUCGUAAAACUCUGUUGUAAGGGAAGAACACGUACGAGAGUAACUGCUCGUACCUUGACGGUACCUUAUUAGAAAGCCACGGCUAACUACGUG